rnacentral:rRNA from 1 species
UCUUCUGGUUGAUCCUGCCAGUGAUCAUAUUCUUCGAUCAAAGAUUAAGCCAUGCAUGUCCAAGACUAAACAAGUUACUAGUGAAUCUGCGUAUGGCUCAUUAUAUGAAUCAUUACUUACCCGAGCACCAAAUCACAACUGGAUAACCGUUGUAAUUCAAGGGCUAAUCAUGCAUCAAAAGAAGUUUAGUAAUAGACUUCUGCAUUUGUUAGUCACAAACCAACAUUUCUGUUUGGUGAAUCAUGACAAAUUGCGGAUCCUCAUGUUGCAAAAAACGGAGGACGACUCGGUCAGGUCUUUCCCCUAUCAGUUUUCGUAGGAAAUGUAUUGAAUUUUCUAGACUUUGACGGGUAGCGGAAAAUAAGGGUUUGAUUCCGGAGAAGGAGCCUGAGAGACGGCUACUACAUCUAAGGAAGGCAGCAGGCGCGCAAAUUUCCCAAUGCUCAUCGAGCGAGGAAGUGACGAUCAAUAACAAUGUGCGAUUCUUUAUGGAUUGUGCAAUUGGAAUGACUACAAUGUAAAGAGUUUAAGGAGGAUCAAUUGGAGGGCAAGUCUGGUGCCAGCAGCCGCGGUAAUUCCAGCUCCAAUAGGAUAUAUCAAAGUUGUUGCAGUUAAAAAGCUCGUAGUUGAAUUUCUGGUGGGUUUGAUGUUUGUUUUUAUUGGAUGAAAGUCUGAUUUAAGCAGGCCGCCCGCCAUCUUGUGGAAUCUGUUUUGUUCGUUUGUUCACUCAAAUGAAUAAAGCCCCACUCAGUCACUGAGAGCAAAUUGGAGUGCUCAAAGCAGGCUUUAUAGCUUUGAACAUUUUAGCCUGGAAUGACAAGAUAAGACUUUUGUUUUAUUUUGUUGGUUAUAAAAUGAAAGUAAUGAUUAACAGGAACAGUUGCGGGGGUACUCGUAUUGAAAGGUCAGAGGUGAAAUUCUUGGAUUCUUUCAAGACGAACGACUGCGAAAGCAUUUACCAAGGAUGUUUUCAUUAAUCAAGAACGGAAGCUCGGGGAUCGAAGAUGAUUAGAUACCAUCGUAGUCCGACGCCAUAAACGAUGCCGACUCGGGAUUGGUCUAGUAAUUGUUUUCAAAAAUUCAGAUCAGCACCGUAUGAGAAAUCAAAGUCUUUGGGUUCCGGGGGGAGUAUGGUCGCAAGGCUGAAACUUAAAGGAAUUGACGGAAGGGCACACCAGAGGUGGAGCCUGCGGUUUAAUUUGACUCAACACGGGGAAACUUACCAGGUCCAGACAUGAUGAGGAUUGACAGUUUGAAAGCACUUUCUUGAUUUCACGGGUGGUGGUGCAUGGCCGUUCUUAGUUGGUGGAGUGAUUUGUCUGGUUGAUUCCGAUAACGAACGAGACGGGAGGAGCUUACUAGUUUCUCGUUAUAACUUGCGUUAUAACAAACUUCUUUGCUCGACAACUUGGUUUUACCAAGAGGAAGCGUCCCGCAAUAACAGGUCUGUGAUGCCCUUAGAUGUUCUGGGCUACACGCGCGCUACAAUGACGAAUUCAACGAGUUGUUUUAUUCCUUGUCCGGAAGGAUGUGGGUAAUCUUUUCAAUGUUCGUCGUGAUGGGGCUAGAUUUUUGCAAUUAUUAAUCUUCAACGAGGAAUCUCUAGUAUGUGCAAGUCAUCAGCUUGCGCAGAAUGCGUCCCUGCCCUUUGUACACACCGCCCGUCGCACCUACCGAUUGGACGAUCCGGCAAGAAGUUUGGAGGGGGUUGUUUUGUCGUAAGAUUGAACAAUUUCCAAAGCUCUUCAAACCUUAUCGUCUAGAGGAAGGUGAAGUCGUAACAAGGUCUCCGUAGGUGAACCUGCA